rnacentral:rRNA from 1 species
UACGUAGGCAGCGAGCGUUGUUCGGAGUUACUGGGCGUAAAGGGUGUGUAGGCGGUCCUCUAAGUUUGGUGUGAAAUCUCCCGGCUCAACCGGGAGGGUGCGCCGAAAACUGGAGGGCUAGAGUGCGGGAAGGGAGAGUGGAAUUCCUGGUGUAGCGGUGAAAUGCGUAGAGAUCGGGAGGAACACCAGUGGCGAAAGCGGCCGGCUGGGCCUGUUCUGACGCUGAGGCGCGAAAGCGUGGGGAGCGAACAGG